GGGGAGAGCGGGGCUGGUGCCUCCCGCGGGCCGCAAACCCGUUGGCCUGCCUGCGAUCCAGGCGGGAGUCCGGUUCGAUUCCGACCUCUCCCCUCCA
rnacentral:sRNA from 1 species